GAAUUCAACUCCUACGGGAGGCAGCAGUGGGGAAUUUUCCGCAAUGGGCGAAAGCCUGACGGAGUGACGCCGCGUGUGGGACGAAGGCCUUCGGGUCGUAAACCACUGUCAGUGGGAAAGAUGGGUGUCGGUGCGAUAACCAUCGGCAUCUGACGGUACCUGCAGAGGAAGCCCCGGCUAACUCUGUGCCAGCAGCCGCGGUAAGACAGAGGGGGCAAGCGUUGCUCGGAAUUACUGGGCGUAAAGGGCGCGUAGGCGGGAUGGCAAGUCGGUCGUGAAAUCCCUCGGCUCAACCGAGGAGCGUCGAUCGAUACUGCCGUUCUUGAGGAUUGCAGAGGAGACUGGAAUUCCCGGUGUAGCGGUGAAAUGUGUAGAGAUCGGGAGGAACACCGGUGGCGAAGGCGGGUCUCUGGGCAAUUCCUGACGCUGAGGCGCGAAAGCGUGGGGAGCAAACGGGAUUAGAUACCCUAGUAGUCCAGGCGUU
rnacentral:rRNA from 1 species